GGGCAGAUAGAGAGGAAGGCGUCCCGGUGGCACCAGCCUCCUGCAGCACGUGGGCAUUGCAGGAAAAGGGAAUGCCGCCUUUCCCUCAGGGCAGGACAGGCAGUGUCCCACUGUGCAAAGCUCUGCCACAGUGAAUAUGUGGGCUGUGGGUUCAGGAUGUAAACGGGUGCACUGUUAGAGCAGCAUACAUCUGUGGUGUUGCUUGUCUCAGCCAAAAGUAUCAGAGAUUACUAAAGUAGCAGCAGCAAACUCUGUCACAACCCAAUGAGCGCUGAUGAGUGCAUCUGAAGUUCAGAGAGUGAGAAGUAUGUAGGAUGCAGAGCUCCCUGGAACCAAGACAGGCACCAAGGGGACAUCUUGCCACUUCCCACUUCUCGGAUGAGAUGGUCAAAGGAGGAAAGCACAGCUGCUUUGCCACCUCCUCUCCAGCCUCAGCUGCUCUACUGAGAGCCACUGCAAUGGCAUCGGUCCCACCACAUUGACAGCAGGGAGAUUGAGAUUUUCCGGCACUCUGGGAACCUCCAUGUCAGCUCUGCACUUUGCAGCAUUCCUUCUACCUUGCCAUACACUUGAUAUGGCAUAUGUUCACCACUUUCUUACUGAUGUCAUAUAAUUGCAGUGUCCUUAUUUGAUUAGCAAGCUCAGGCAUGCUUGACUCACGUUGUAUCUCAGUUGUUUUCAUCCAUAAACACUGAUGUGUUAACUUCUGAAACAAUGCCUAUGUAACUCCCAGGGCAGAGUUUUGAUUUCGUCCUGGAACAAGGACAAUCUUCCCUUGUCUGAUGGCUUUUUAUUCUUCAUCUUUUCCCAUCAGUUGCUUCUCAAACAAGAUUUUCACUGGCAAUAACGAGAAUAAACUUAAUUAAUUGUUUGGAAA